CCUACGGGAGGCAGCAGUGGGGGAUAUUGGGCAAUGGGCGAAAGCCUGACCCAGCAACGCCGCGUGAAGGAAGAAGGCUUUCGGGUUGUAAACUUCUUUUGACAGGGAAGAGCAGAAGACGGUACCUGUCGAAUAAGCCACGGCUAACUACGUGCCAGCAGCCGCGGUAAUACGUAGGUGGCAAGCGUUGUCCGGAUUUACUGGGGGUAAAGGGCGUGUAGCCGGGCUGACAAGUCAGAUGUGAAAUCCGGGGGCUCAACCCCCGAACUGCAUUUGAAACUGUUGGUCUUGAGUAUCGGAGAGGCAGGCGGAAUUCCUAGUGUAGCGGUGAAAUGCGUAGAUAUUAGGAGGAACACCAGUGGCGAAGGCGGCCUGCUGGACGACAACUGACGGUGAGGCGCGAAAGCGUGGGGAGCAAACAGGAUUAGAUACCCCAGUAGUC
rnacentral:rRNA from 1 species